rnacentral:misc_RNA from 1 species
UACGGAGGGUGCAAGCGUUGUCCGGAUUUAUUGGGUUUAAAGGGUGCGUAGGCGGGCAUGUAAGUCGGGGGUGAAAGUUUGCGGCUCAACCGUAAAAUUGCCAUUGAUACUGGAUGUCUUGAGUACAGUUGAGGUAGGCGGAAUUCAUGGUGUAGCGGUGAAAUGCAUAGAUACCAUGAAGAACACCUAUAGCGAAGGCAGCUUACUAAACUGUGACUGACGCUGAGGCACGAAAGCGGGGGGAGCGAACAGG